AGUGACGUCUCAGAACGACUCCCCCGAGAGCCUCCUUCCCCGUCCCUCAGCACACAUUCCCAGAAGAGCCCUCCGUCCGCCCUGCCCCUGCCAUGAGCCUCGGCCUCCUGUGCUGUGUGGCCCUGGGUCUCCUGCAGGCAGGGCCCGUGAAUGCUGGCAUCACUCAGACCCCCAGAUUCCAGAUCCUGGGGACAGGACAGAGCAUGACGCUGAGAUGUGAACAGGACAAGGACCACGACUACAUGUCCUGGUAUCGACAAGACCCUGGACAAGGGCUGCGGCUGAUCCAUUACUCCGUCAGUGCUGGUACCACCGAGAGAGGAGAAAUCUCCAACGGAUACAACGUCUCUAGGUCAAAUACAAAGAACUUCCCUCUCACGCUGGCGUCCGCAACUCCCUCCCAGACAUCUGUGUACUUCUGUGCCAGCAGUGACUGCCGUGCAAACACCGGGCAGCUGUAUUUUGGGGCUGGUUCCAAGCUGAUCGUGCUGGAGGAUCUGAAAAAGGUGAGCCCUCCCAAGGUCACAGUGUUCGAACCAUCAGAAGCAGAGAUCUCCCGGACCCUGAAGGCCACGCUCGUGUGCCUGGCCACAGGCUUCUACCCCGACCACGUGGAGCUGAGCUGGUGGGUGAACGGGAAGGAGGUGCGCGACGGGGUCAGCACGGACCCUGAGCCCUACAAGGAACAGUCCGGCGCGAAUGUGUCCAGCUACUGUCUGAGCAGCCGGCUGAGGGUCUCCGCCACCUUCUGGCACAACCCUCGGAACCACUUCCGCUGCCAGGUCCAGUUCCACGGGCUCGGGAAGGAUGACCAGUGGGACUACCCCGAGGCCAAACCCGUCACCCAGAACGUCAGUGCCGACACCUGGGGCAGAGCAGACUGUGGCUUCACUUCGGCGUCCUACCAGCAGGGGGUCCUGUCAGCCACCAUCCUCUAUGAGAUCCUGCUGGGGAAGGCCACCCUAUAUGCCAUCCUGGUCGGCAUCCUCGCGCUGAUGGCCAAGGUCAAGAGAAAGGAUUCCUGAGGCCAGCUCCAAAAGCGUAUCCUGAGUUCAUAAUCCUCACCCCGGAUUCUCCUUUCCAUGCUUCCAGCCUGUGUUUCUAAAAGCGUGAUUCUCUCUCCGCCUCUUAUCUCCUUCCUGCCGGGUUAUCUGUCCCUUCGCCCCACUUCCCUGUGGAUUGAGCUCCUCAGCCCUGACACUGAAAGAGACUAAAACAAUAAAAAGCAUCGUGCCAGGC